rnacentral:rRNA from 1 species
CACGUAGGCACCAAGCGUUGUCCGGAUUUAUUGGGCGUAAAGAGCUCGUAGGCGGUUCGGUAAGUCGGAUGUGAAAUCUUUGGGCUCAACCCAAAGCGUGCACUCGAUACUGCCGUGACUGGAGUUCGGUAGGGGAGCGGGGAAUUCCUAGUGUAGCGGUGAAAUGCGCAGAUAUUAGGAGGAACACCGGUGGCGAAGGCGGAUCUCUGGGCCUUACCUGACGCUGAGGAGCGAAAGCAUGGGGAGCAAACAGG